ACUUCUGUUUAAAGAUUCUUUAGUCCGUUUAUGAUUUAUCUCCUUAUUACACAUUUCUUUUGUAAAUGUAAAAAUAGAUUUUGUGAAUUUUGGAAGGUACCUAUGUGUAUUAUACCCAUUUGCAUUUGGGUUUUCUCUCAAUUUCGUUCUUUUGUUUUACAGCAAUUGUUGUUUUUCUUUUUGUGUUUUUAUGGAAGCCUUAAUCUUAAACUCUUAUUUCUUGAAACUUUGGGUUUGCUCUCGAGGCUAUGCCGUUUGUUUUUUCAUGAAGUAAAGAAGCAAAGACCCGCACUCUAUUUAUGCUUCACAUUGUUGUUUAUUGCGUCUUAAGACUGAAGAAUGGAAUCCAGUUUAUCGACUACUUCUUACGGGUGGUGGUGAUAUAUGCUUAGCCCCGAGUUAUUUUAAGGCCGCGUUCGGUUGCCAUUAGAACUGCGGAUGGAAUCGGAAUAUAAUUCUUGGAAUAUAAUUCUUGGAAUAUGAUUCUUGAUUUUUGUUUGCUUCACCAAACAAACCCAAGUCUCUUUUGUUUUUAUUUUGUACUUUAAUGAUGAUUUGACUAAUUUUUGUUUAUAUACUUCCAAAAUAAAGACGAAAUAGGACUUUUGGGAUCUAAACAUUUAUUUUCAUUUCCAUCCUAAUUCCAAAGAGUAAUUAAACAUGCCUGGUGACCCUUCCUUCUGAAAUUUAGUAAAAGAAACUUCAAUGUUUGUUUGUUAUUUUUUCAAAUAUUAAUGUUAAUAUGUGACGGAGAUGUCCGUGGUUUGUCUUCCUGAUGAUAACAAGUUUAAAAGAGUUGGAAGACGCUUUUAUUUUUUGUGUAGUUACGAAAUGUUUUUAAUCAAGUCUUGGAACAUUUUGAUUAUUUGUUGUCGUGUGUUGGUUCGAUAGGUGCGAAAAAUUGAUUACAAAGUGAUUCCAUGAGCAAUAUGUUUAAGUGGGGUAUUAAAAAGGCAGAUAGUCGGACAAACAAAGAUUUUAAAUUCUACCAGUCAUUCACUUACUGUGGUGUGGAGUAUUAUCUUUACGAUUGU
rnacentral:lncRNA from 1 species